GAACAAGCACCUGGCCGACAACCGUGGAAAGAUUGAAAUGCUUUGCUCAAAGAUACGGUGUCCUGCUGAAUCUAAUCCUUCAUGGAGAUGGCAUUACUAUCAACCCUGGAAGGAUCCUGCUGCGCCGCGCACGGAGAUGGAGCGCUUGGAAGAGGAGCAGGCCUGCCGGAGCCUCUUGAUCCUAUUUUCUAAUGCCUUCAGUGCCUCCCUGCCGGAAUUUCGGGUACUGUCACUAGAUGAUGUUGAAAAAUCUGGCCUGUUCCAGUCGGAAAGGGAGUCCAUGGUUAAGCAGAAACAUUGCGAUUAGUUUGCUGAAGCAGUAAGAUGAACCGCAGUAAGAUGAACCUAAGACUGCUAUAUUCCCACAUUUGACCUGUGUACAAGUCAUAGAAUUGUUGGUGUUUAAAGGAAUGCUUGGUCCUCAGUGGGAUCAAGUAGAGCUCCGUGCACAGAGCUUAACGGGACUGCCGAACGCAACCAUGUUCGACACUUGAACAAUUUUGGUCUGGCAUUCACUGCUGUUCUCCUUUCGAUUGUAUAGGGCAUCUACUGUUGUACAA